GAUGAAGAACGCAGCGAAAUGCGAUAAUUUAUGUGAAUUGCAGAAUUCCGUGAAUCAUCGAGUCUUUGAACGCACAUUGCGCCCCCUGGUAUUCCGGGGGGCAUGCCUGUCCGAGCGUCAUUGCUGCCCUCAAGCACGGCUUGUGUGUUGGGCCCCCGUCCCCCCCUCCCGGGGGACGGGCCCGAAAGGCAGCGGCGGCACCGCGUCCGGUCCUCGAGCGUAUGGGGCUUUGUCACCCGCUCUGUAGGCCCGGCCGGCGCCUGCCGACCACCAUCAAUCUUUUUUCAGGUUGACCUCGGAUCAGGUAGGGAUACCCGCUGAACUUAAGCAUAUCAAUAAGCGGAGGA
rnacentral:misc_RNA from 1 species